rnacentral:rRNA from 1 species
CGUGUGGUUCUAUUUUGUUGGUUUCUAGGACCGCCGUAAUGAUUAAUAGGGACAGUCGGGGGCAUCAGUAUUCAAUUGUCAGAGGUGAAAUUCUUGGAUUUAUUGAAGACUAACUACUGCGAAAGCAUUUGCCAAGGAUGUUUUCAUUAAUCAGGAACGAAAGUUAGGGGAUCGAAAACGAUCAGAUACCGUUGUAGUCUUAACCAUAAACUAUGCCGACUCGGGAUCGGACGAUGUUAUUUUUUGACUCGUUCGGCACCGUACGAUAAAUCAAAGUGCUUGGGCUCCAGGGGGAGUAUGGUCGCAAGGCUGAAACUUAAAGAAAUUGACGGAAGGGCACCACCAGGGGUGGAGCCUGCGGCUUAAUUUGACUCAACACGGGGAAACUCA